rnacentral:rRNA from 1 species
UACGUAGGGUGCGAGCGUUGUCCGGAAUUACUGGGCGUAAAGAGCUCGUAGGUGGUUUGUCGCGUUGUUCGUGAAAACUCACAGCUUAACUGUGGGCUUGCGGUCGAUACGGGCAGGCUAGAGUUCGGUAGGGGAGACUGGAAUUCCUGGUGUAGCGGUGAAAUGCGCAGAUAUCGGGAAGAACACCAGUGGCGAAGGCGGCUCACUGGCCCGAUACUGACGCUGAGGCACGAAAGCGUGGGGAGCAAACAGGG